GGGUGGCUUUACCCAGCGAUGAGGCAGACGGUGUCUAUUCUAUAUACAGUCUAUGGUUGGAACUAGUAAGUUGGAGGUUUUGCCUUAUGGCUUAGCUCCCUCUUCACCAUGACGAUUGCACCUCAAAACCAGCCUAUUCAUCUCAUGAUUUCAUAUUUCUUAUCUUAAUUUUAGUUUUUAUGUCUUUAUUGAGAGAAUUGGAUUAGGAAUGGGAACAAGAAAUUAUGAGGGGGGGAGGGCUGCAGUAUGAAUUCAAACACCAACCAGACCGUCUGCUUCGAGGAGUCUCUCUACACCAGGCAUGUAAUUUAACCACAAAGUCAAGCCAUUGCCAAUCGUGUGAUCUAUUUUACACUCAUUAGUGAACAAGAUCUCAAGAUACUUGAACCCAGAGAUCUAUGGCCUUGUAUUUAGAGGUGCUGACCCUUAUCCAAGCUGCUUCACAAUGCAUUACUCUAUGGUAUAUUAUUCCACCAUGGCACAAAUGACUCAAAAACUCUUGGAUGAACAGUUGCCAUUACCAGAUAAUGAGAUAGAGAUGGAUAGGGUGCAUACAACCAGUCUGGUGAUCCCAAACUAUUAGUCCAACAACAUCAUCAGAUCAAAAGUUCAUUUGUCUAUAAUUUAAGAUUAUCAUCAACAAGCCUUAGAACUAUUCUGUCGAAGGUUCAUAACCAAAUGUUAGACUAAGGUGAUUAAUACACACUGUAAGUGAUAAAUAUUGGCAUGAAAGUGUCAGCAUUAAAAUCACAGUACUGCUUUUAGGAGGUAUAAAGCUGUGGGCUCAGUGAUUCUCCCAAAAAUAAAUGUACACCUUUAAACAAACAUAAUUUGUUUCAUCCAAUAUGCAAAACAAAUCUCAUCAGUAUAUUGUUUAAUUGUUUGUAUUUCACAAUGAGAAAUCAUCUAGCAAUCUCUGAUGCCAUAUCUUAAAAUAUAGAUAUCCCUCAUGAAAUUAUAGCACAACAAUUUCGAACAAAUAAUAUAAGCAGAUGGUUUUUAGUACAUUUUGUUGUGUUAUUGUACUCCAGGUUAAAAAAAAAACACUUUUCCCAGCUCCUGAGUGUUUUAUCUCAGGCUGUUUUGCACAGAUUUAACUGUUCUGUAAAAUGAACCGCCCACUCUCCUCUCCUUCAGAUCUGCAGCUCUGGGACUAUUCCCUCGCCGAACUGUUUUUAGGACCAAAAAAGACAUUUUUAGCCUUAGGUGCUUCAUGCCAUGAACGAUGAAAGUUAAGAGGGAAAAACUGACAGGUAAAAUACAUUAAUACACUAGAGAAGAGGCAGGCUACAAAUAAGAGAUAGUUUGGUAAAAAAAAAAAAAAAAGAAAGAAAAAAGUGCUUUUACUUUUAAAAGUUUUACAGCUUAAAACAAUGGUAACAUUUGAUUGGAGUAUUGUAUUUAAACCACAUCUCUGUCACUUUCCCCUGUUGGUGCCAUAAUCAGGCUUUAAUAACAAUAGAGGGGAAAAUAUGGCUUAUACAUCAACUCAUGUUACAGUGGCAGAGUGAUGAAAGAAGCAAUUAUCGUUGUCAAGCCGUUCAUCGAGCUUUAUUGUUGCUUGCCAGCGUGCACGCCCAUUAUUGAUAUCUCUAUCCACCUUUAUCCUUAUUACACUCAGAAUAAUAGCCUGCUGACAUGUGGAAAAGCAUGGCCUCAUGGGAGCGUGUUACUAAACAUAGUGUUCAUGAGCUUUCAGUAUGAUCAUCUGGGAGCCUGUAAUUUACGAUAGAGAUUUGUGUCACUGUUCAAGGAGAUAGAAGAGCAUAGUCAUUUACAAACGGAGGGCUUUCUUUAAUAGGGAACCAGUGGAAGUCAUUAGCUUUAGCAGCGUGGUUUUAUUUGCCAUGUGCAUUAGCAGCAACAGAUCCCAAAUGG